UGCCUUGUAACUCAGUUGGCUAGAGCAUUGGUUGUCCUUAAGCCUUCCCCUUGCUGGCGUGGGUUCAAAUCCCACCAAGGCUG
rfam:Schistocephalus solidus strain NST_G2 genome assembly, scaffold: SSLN_contig0022238